rnacentral:rRNA from 1 species
GGGUGCUCGAGUGGCGAACGGGUGAGUAACACGUGAGUAACCUGCCCUUGACUUUGGGAUAACUUCAGGAAACUGGGGCUAAUACCGGAUAGGAGCUCCUGCUGCAUGGUGGGGGUUGGAAAGUUUCGGCGGUUGGGGAUGGACUCGCGGCUUAUCAGCUUGUUGGUGGGGUAGUGGCUUACCAAGGCUUUGACGGGUAGCCGGCCUGAGAGGGUGACCGGCCACAUUGGGACUGAGAUACGGCCCGG